rnacentral:lncRNA from 1 species
UUUUUUUUUUUUUUUUUGUAUUUUUAGUAGAGACGGGGUUUCACCGUGUUAGCCAGGAUGGCCUCGAUCUCCUGACCUCGCGAUCCGCCCGUCUUGGCCUCCCAAAGUGCUGGGAUUACAGGCUUGAGUCACCGCGCCCAGCCGAUAUUUAAAUAACUUCUAACACACAAACUGCUAAGAUAUUUGUUAAGUUUUGGGCAUUAUUUUGUAAUGCAGAAUUAUGAAUAUACUUUUAUAAAGAAUAAGCUGGUAUGUGUUCCCUAUUCAUUCUUCAUUACCACCAGGUUCUGUAACCACUGGAAAAUGGGGCCAGGGACGCGGGCAUAUUUUGCCCUGCCCAGUGGGGGUCCAACUGGAAAAAGCCUAGAAGCCAUCUGGGGAGUCUAGGAAGUCCACUUUGUGAAAAUGCAAGUUUUGGAGGAAAAAGCCCAGAGAUAUUCAUAUAUAAUAGACAGGGUCUCACUCUGUCACCCAGGCUGGGAUGCAGUGGCUCGAUCUCGGCUCAUUGCAGCCUUGACAUCCCGAGCUCAAGGGAUGCUGCAGCCUCAUCCUCUGGAGUAGCUGGGACUAUAGGCGUGUGCCACCACACUUGGCUAAUUUUUGGCCCAGAGGUAUUUUAAAAGUCAUUUUGUCAAAUGACUGAUGUCCCCCACGGUUCAGGCUCGCUCUGCCUGGAUUCCCCGGGAGCCUAGGUGGAGUGACAGGUAUGACAUGCGUCACAGGUGCAGGGCGGCUCCUGGACUGCAGGCUCAUGCUGUGGUGGGGAAGGGUGCCACAGAGCUCCCCGGGUGUUGGGAGCUGCACUACCCCUCAGGAUCUGCAGCUCUGGUACAGCUGGGGGUUUGACUGCAGGGCCAGUGGAGGUGAUUCGGUUCCUGACUUGGCCAGGAAGAGGAAGGGAGAGCUGGCGCUGGACAGCAGCCGGUUUCUGCUCCGAUUCCCCCGCUGAUUCCUCUCUAGGGGUGAGCUUUCUGGGCCUGUGGGCAAAAGGCUGAUGCGAAUAGACUCAGUCACGAAAGUGACGCAGUGCAAGGCUGUGUCAGAGGCUACUGGUGGGCGAGGGGCCUUGAAACCAGGCCCAGAUGACGCUCUGAAGAUGCCCCCCAGGGAGAAGGCCCAGCUGCUUGGUGGUAGCCCCUCACUGCUCAGAUGGUGGAGUGGUUCAGGGCACAAACUCUGUAGCCAAAACUCCAUAGUUUGAGGCCCAGUUCUAUAGUCUCCUGGCUCCAUGACCUCAGAUGAGUUACUCAACCUCUGUUUUCUCAUCAGUGACAGGCUGUUGGGAGGGUUAACUGAGUUAAUAUGUGUAAAUUGCAUAGCAUGGACCCUGGCCUGUGGUAAAUGCCUAACCAAUGUUAGAUACUAUUAUUAUUGUUAUUAUUGGUUACAGCUGUUUUAGCCUGCCAACGUGGGUAGGAGGAGCACACAGACGGGCCACUGAGUACAGUCAUACAGGUUGUGUACUGAAAAACCAGGACACCAUUCACGUGGUAGCCUGGAGAAUGGCACCUUCUGCAGUAAUGCAGUGCACAACCUGUGCAGCUGGUAUGCUGGCCCUGGAUGCCCUGGGCAGCCAUACUCCAAUUUCUGACUAAUAGGUACCAUUUGAAGUUGGAGCAAGGUCCUGGAGAAGAUUCUUUUUUUAUUUUUUAUUUUUAUUUUUGAGAUGGAGUCUCACUCUGUCACCCAGGUUGGAGUGCAGUGGUGCAAACUCAGCUCACUGCAAGCUCCAACUCCCGGGUUCACACCAUUCUCCUGCCUCAGCCUCCCUGGAGAAGAUUCUUUUAACAAAGGAGGUAUGGUGGCUUUUGAGUGGAGCUACGAAGACCCAAAUAAGGUGUGGCCUGGCUCUUGAGAAGGUCCCAG